CCUACGGGAGGCUGCAGUGGGGAAUAUUGGGCAAUGGGCGCAAGCCUGACCCAGCAAUGCCGCGUGAAGGAAGAAGGCUUUCGGGUUGUAAACUUCUUUGACAGGGGAAGAGAAGAAGGCGGUCCCCUGAAAACAAGCCACGGCUAACUACGGGCCAGCAGCCGCGGUAAUACGUAGGUGGCAAGCGUUGUACGGAUGUACUGGGUGGAAAGGGCGUGUAGCCGGGAAGGCAAGUCAGAUGUGAAAUCCUGAGGCUCAACCUCAGAAUUGCAUUUGAAACUGGUUAUCUUGAGUACUGGAGAGGUAGAUGGAAGUCCAUGGGUAGGGGUGAAAUGCGUAGAGAUAAGGAGGAAAACUAGUGGCGAAGGCGGUCUGCUGGAAAGCAACUGACGGUGAUGCGCGAAAGCGUGGGGAGCAAACAGGAUUAGAUACCCUAGUAGUC
rnacentral:rRNA from 1 species